AUGAGUUCUGAUGGAUAUUUAUGUCAAAGAUGCAAAUUUAAAAGCAUUACACAAUUUUGAUACACAAUCAUAGCUUAGAUGGUUAAAGUGCAAAAGCCUACUAUUAUUCGUAAACAAGUUUUAGGAUGUCUCUUUGUGAAAGACCACGUUAAAAAAAAUGAAUUAGCAAAAUUCAAGGCAGUUGAAUGUACAUAUAUCUAUACAAAAGGAGAUAUUUGCUCUUCCAAAACCAGGUGAUUCUGCAUAGACAGCGACACAAGAAGUGCAUAGGAGACUCGACUAGUGUUAGCAUGUUGCUAAGCUAAUGUUAACAAAAAUACAUCGCAAAAAUGUUGGCUAUGGAACUUUUAAUUGUUAAUUUUCAUUCACUGAAAUAAAUAUAUUUAUAUUCAA